GGGUUGUGAGGUUAAGCGACUAAGCGUACACGGUGGAUGCCCUGGCAGUCAGAGGCGAUGAAGGGCGUGCUAAUCUGCGAUAAGCGCCGGUAAGGUGAUAUGAACCGUUAUAACCGGCGAUACCCGAAUGGGGAAACCCAGUGUGACUCGUCACACUAUCAUUAACUGAAUCCAUAGGUUAAUGAGGCGAACCGGGGGAACUGAAACAUCUAAGUACCCCGAGGAAAAGAAAUCAACCGAGAUUCCCCCAGUAGCGGCGAGCGAACGGGGAGGAGCCCAGAGCCUGAAUCAGCAUGUGUGUUAGUGGAAGCGUCUGGAAAGGCGCGCGAUACAGGGUGACAGCCCCGUACACAAAAGCGCAUGUGCUGUGAGCUCGAUGAGUAGGGCGGGACACGUGGUAUCCUGUCUGAAUAUGGGGGGACCAUCCUCCAAGGCUAAAUACUCCUGACUGACCGAUAGUGAACCAGUACCGUGAGGGAAAGGCGAAAAGAACCCCGGCGAGGGGAGUGAAAAAGAACCUGAAACCGUGUACGUACAAGCAGUGGGAGCCCCACCACCAAAGCAUUUGCUGUACCGCGUUGACGGAGCGAAGCGACGUCAAACCGAUAAAACAGCAGUGUAAAGUGAGCCGCAGGGCGCUUUGCGCGACAGCGCAAAGGCAGGCGGUUUCGCGUAGCGAAAGCGAAUGCUUUGGGGUGGGGUGACUGCGUACCUUUUGUAUAAUGGGUCAGCGACUUAUAUUCUGUAGCAAGGUUAACCGAAUAGGGGAGCCGGAGGGAAACCGAGUCUUAAUUGGGCGUUAAGUUGCAGGGUAUAGACCCGAAACCCGGUGAUCUAGCCAUGGGCAGGUUGAAGGUUGGGUAACACUAACUGGAGGACCGAACCGACUAAUGUUGAAAAAUUAGCGGAUGACCUGUGGCUGGGGGUGAAAGGCCAAUCAAACCGGGAGAUAGCUGGUUCUCCCCGAAAGCUAUUUAGGUAGCGCCUCGUGAAUUCAUCUCCGGGGGUAGAGCACUGUUUCGGCUAGGGGGCCAUCCCGGCUUACCAACCCGAUGCAAACUGCGAAUACCGGAGAAUGUUAUCACGGGAGACACACGGCGGGUGCUAACGUCCGUCGUGAAGAGGGAAACAACCCAGACCGCCAGCUAAGGUCCCAAAGUCAUGGUUAAGUGGGAAACGAUGUGGGAAGGCCCAGACAGCCAGGAUGUUGGCUUAGAAGCAGCCAUCAUUUAAAGAAAGCGUAAUAGCUCACUGGUCGAGUCGGCCUGCGCGGAAGAUGUAACGGGGCUAAACCAUGCACCGAAGCUGCGGCAGCGACACUGUGUGUUGUUGGGUAGGGGAGCGUUCUGUAAGCCUGUGAAGGUGUGUCGUGAGGCAUGCUGGAGGUAUCAGAAGUGCGAAUGCUGACAUAAGUAACGAUAAAGCGGGUGAAAAGCCCGCUCGCCGGAAGACCAAGGGUUCCUGUCCAACGUUAAUCGGGGCAGGGUGAGUCGACCCCUAAGGCGAGGCCGAAAGGCGUAGUCGAUGGGAAACGGGUUAAUAUUCCCGUACUUGGUGUUACUGCGAAGGGGGGACGGAGAAGGCUAUGUUGGCCGGGCGACGGUUGUCCCGGUUUAAGCGUGUAGGUGUGUGUUCCAGGUAAAUCCGGUUCACUUUAACACUGAGGCGUGACGACGAGGCACUACGGUGCUGAAGCAACAAAUGCCCUGCUUCCAGGAAAAGCCUCUAAGCAUCAGGUAACAUCAAAUCGUACCCCAAACCGACACAGGUGGUCAGGUAGAGAAUACCAAGGCGCUUGAGAGAACUCGGGUGAAGGAACUAGGCAAAAUGGUGCCGUAACUUCGGGAGAAGGCACGCUGACACGUAGGUGAAGUGAUUUACUCAUGGAGCUGAAGUCAGUCGAAGAUACCAGCUGGCUGCAACUGUUUAUUAAAAACACAGCACUGUGCAAACACGAAAGUGGACGUAUACGGUGUGACGCCUGCCCGGUGCCGGAAGGUUAAUUGAUGGGGUCAGCGCAAGCGAAGCUCCUGAUCGAAGCCCCGGUAAACGGCGGCCGUAACUAUAACGGUCCUAAGGUAGCGAAAUUCCUUGUCGGGUAAGUUCCGACCUGCACGAAUGGCGUAAUGAUGGCCAGGCUGUCUCCACCCGAGACUCAGUGAAAUUGAACUCGCUGUGAAGAUGCAGUGUACCCGCGGCAAGACGGAAAGACCCCGUGAACCUUUACUAUAGCUUGACACUGAACAUUGAGCCUUGAUGUGUAGGAUAGGUGGGAGGCUUUGAAGUGUGGACGCCAGUCUGCAUGGAGCCGACCUUGAAAUACCACCCUUUAAUGUUUGAUGUUCUAACGUGGACCCGUUACCCGGGUUGCGGACAGUGUCUGGUGGGUAGUUUGACUGGGGCGGUCUCCUCCUAAAGAGUAACGGAGGAGCACGAAGGUUGGCUAAUCCUGGUCGGACAUCAGGAGGUUAGUGCAAUGGCAAUAAGCCAGCUUGACUGCGAGCGUGACGGCGCGAGCAGGUGCGAAAGCAGGUCAUAGUGAUCCGGUGGUUCUGAAUGGAAGGGCCAUCGCUCAACGGAUAAAAGGUACUCCGGGGAUAACAGGCUGAUACCGCCCAAGAGUUCAUAUCGACGGCGGUGUUUGGCACCUCGAUGUCGGCUCAUCACAUCCUGGGGCUGAAGUAGGUCCCAAGGGUAUGGCUGUUCGCCAUUUAAAGUGGUACGCGAGCUGGGUUUAGAACGUCGUGAGACAGUUCGGUCCCUAUCUGCCGUGGGCGCUGGAGAACUGAGGGGGGCUGCUCCUAGUACGAGAGGACCGGAGUGGACGCAUCACUGGUGUUCGGGUUGUCAUGCCAAUGGCACUGCCCGGUAGCUAAAUGCGGAAGAGAUAAGUGCUGAAAGCAUCUAAGCACGAAACUUGCCCCGAGAUGAGUUCUCCCUGAGACUUAGAGUCUCCUGAAGGAACGUUGAAGACGACGACGUUGAUAGGCCGGGUGUGUAAGCGCAGCGAUGCGUUGAGCUAACCGGUACUAAUGAACCGUGAGGCUUAACCUUACAACGCCGAAG
rnacentral:rRNA from 1 species